rnacentral:rRNA from 1 species
AGAGUUUGAUCCUGGCUCAGGAUGAACGCUAGCGGCAGGCCUAAUACAUGCAAGUCGAGGGGCAGCACGGUAGCAAUACUGGUGGCGACCGGCAAACGGGUGCGGAACACGUACGCAACCUUCCUUUAAGAGAUGAAUAGCCCGAAGAAAUUCGGAUUAAUGCAUCGUAAGAUUGUGGGAUGGCAUCAUCCAGCAAUUAAAGAUUUAUUUCGCUUAAAGAUGGGCGUGCGCCUGAUUAGGUAGUUGGUGAGGUAACGGCUCACCAAGCCGACGAUCAGUAACUGGCGUGAGAGCGCGACCAGUCACACGGGCACUGAGACACGGGCCCGACUCCUACGGGAGGCAGCAGUAAGGAAUAUUGGUCAAUGGACGCAAGUCUGAACCAGCCAUGCCGCGUGAAGGAUGAAAGCCCUCUGGGUUGUAAACUUCUUUUAUCUGGGAAGAAACCACCUUUUUCUAAGGGUGUUGACGGUACCAGAGGAAUAAGCACCGGCUAACUCCGUGCCAGCAGCCGCGGUAAUACGGAGGGUGCAAGCGUUAUCCGGAUUCACUGGGUUUAAAGGGUGCGUAGGCGGAUUCUUAAGUCCGUGGUGAAAUCUCCAAGCUUAACUUGGAAACUGCCAUGGAUACUAUUAGUCUUGAAUGUUGUGGAGGUUAGCGGAAUAUGUCAUGUAGCGGUGAAAUGCAUAGAUAUGACAUAGAACACCAAUUGCGAGGGCAGCUGGCUACACAAAUAUUGACGCUGAGGCACGAAAGCGUGGGGAUCAAACAGGAUUAGAUACCCUGGGUAGUCCACGCCCUAAACGAUGAUUACUCGACAUACGCGAUACACAGUGUGUGUCUGAGCGAAAGCAUUAAGUAAUUCUACGUG